UACAGAGGUCUCAAGCGUUGUUCGGAUUCAUUGGGCGUAAAGGGUGCGUAGGUGGCGCCGUAAGUCAGGUGUGAAAUUUCGGAGCUUAACUCCGAAACUGCAUUUGAUACUGCGGUGCUUGAGGACUGGAGAGGAGACUGGAAUUCACGGUGUAGCAGUGAAAUGCGUAGAUAUCGUGAGGAAGACCAGUGGUGAAGGCGGGUCUCUGGACAGUUCCUGACACUGAGGCACGAAGGCCAGGGGAGCAAACGGG
rnacentral:rRNA from 1 species